GCCAGGAAAGCACUGCCACUGAGUGGUUCUUCAACUCCCCUGUCUCAUGCAUUGAGUUCUUUGGGGGAAGAAAGGUAUGUAUCCUGUGAUAUUCUGCCUAAAACCUUUCCUGAUUGGGAAUUAUGGAAGUAGGAGUCAAGUUAUUGGUACCAAAUAGCUGCAGACCUGAUAAGUCAGGGGCUGGGUGCUGAACUUAGUUACUGGCCGACUGAACACAACUGUUUUGUCAUGUCCACUAGGUCAGAAAGGGAUCUGAGGAGAGGCAGGUGAUAGAUAGACGCUGGGGCAAGGUGGUCACACAAAGACAGGGAAGUGCCUGUCCGAGACACAUUCCCCAGUCGGCUACCCCCUGGGGCCUUCAUGUGGUCAGGGCUGCGGUUGGUGGGGGCCGUGGGCAGCAUCCAGCUCACUCUCUGAAAGGCAGGUGCGCUCGGUUGCUUCACUGCCUCCACCUUCUGUCCAGCUCCGGUCCUGGGAUGUACACAGGGUCAAGGGGAUUAGACAAUCUCUCAGGAUGGGAGAUCAGAAACAGAGCAGACAUA
rnacentral:lncRNA from 1 species